GAUGCAGGGGUCUAGGAAUUGGGGUGAGCAUUGCUAAGCCUGGCGAUUAAUCAAAAUGGCGUGGAAGGAAUCAGGUGAACCAAUUGUUGUCUAAGGUGCAGCGAAUGGAUUUGCCGCGCUGUAACCGAAUUACAAGCCUACCUCGAUCCUCUUUUCGUCGGCUUCCCCGUCACUUCUCAGGCCCACAGGGCUGGAAAAAGCAGACCUCGAAGCAGCCGCGGAAGCCGGAAGGAAGGGUCAGAGGAACACAGAAGGGGCAAAAGGCAUUCCUUGGGGCCACCUUGGGGAUCUCCGGUGAUUCAGAAGCGAGGCAUUCAACAAACAAACAAGGUUGAUUCAGAAGCGAGGCAUUCAACAAACAAACACACAAGUUAUAGGAAUAAAGUUCCCCAAAUAAUUGUGAACAAUUAACCCCAAACUGAUAAAACCCAAAUCCUGUAAACUCAGGGCUUGACGGAUAAGGAGCUGGUUUAAGCCUGGGUUCCUUUGGAGGGGAUGAUGAUAAGCAGCGCCUCCUUGAAUAAAUGAGGAAAGGACAGAAAGUGGGAUGGAGACCCCGAAGAGGAGGUGAUUCCGGCAUGACUCAGUCGUCUCAAGGAGCGAGCAAGAAGAAGCGAUCAGGCCAGGCGGCAGCCGCUGGAUCCUCAGCCUGCUAAUGCUUCUUGGAAUGAAUACAGAUGCUCUCGGAAUUGCCUCCUCGCCUGCCACAAUAAAGACGGAGAAAGCA